GCGCCCGUAGCUCAGCCGGAUAGAGCAUCUGCCUUCUAAGCAGAGGGUCGCAGGUUCGAAUCCUGCCGGGCGCGCCA
rnacentral:tRNA from 1 species